AGGAAAAAAGAAAGCACGGGAGUCACUCCAUGCUGAGAUUUUGUACUUUUGUGUCUCCUGAAGUGAAUACAUCAGUCAGGAAUCAAAGGUUUUGGAAAGUCAUUCAGCCCCUCCAAAUGAGAAGGCGAGCCAUCUGCCUGCCGGGAUGGAGCUGUCCUCAAAGGCCGUGAGCCAGGGCUAAUCUCUGUGACACUGGGGUAAGCCUGGAGCAUCUCCUCCAGAGUUACAAGCAGCUCGCCUGGCAUCCCCGGUUCUGGCCUGGUGUGUUCAUCUUCAUGCCAGCAAAGCAUUUUGAACCCAGCCCUUUAAUGUUGUAUCACCAUAGUGAUGGGCUCCUCUGCUCCAGAGCGGGUGAGGAAUUGCUGCGGGGCCGUCCAGUGUUAAUUAGUUCUUUUUAGGCAAAAGUUGAACUCGGUGGGAGCUGCGAGUACAAGGUGCGGCACGUUUGGAGCUCUGCAGCCUCUCGUUGUCUUUGGUUUUAGCAAUGUCCUGCCAUCGAGUCCCACAUGCCACAGGAAAUCCCUUGUGUUUGCUGGAAGUUAGAGCAGUGAUGGAAAAUCGAUGGGAAGGAAAGAUGCUCUGUAUGAGAAACUGAUGAUCCACAUACGUCCUUAAGGCUUUGCAGAUGAUGCCAUUUGGAAAGCUUGGGCCAUGAUGCGAGAUCCCCAAGGUGCUCCAUUUUUGGGCAGGAGCCAAACAACUGCCAGGAUAACAGAGCACAAAGGAAAGCUGGAUCUGAGGCACUGGCUGGCUUAGAUCAUUGGGUUUGAACUGCCCUAAGGCGUUAUAGCUAAUGCGAGAGAUUGGCAUCUCCAAAGGUACCUCUGGCUGUUGAUUGCAGGAGUGCCUUGGGGAUGUCUCUCACCUGAGGCACUUCAGGCAGGUUCCUAAAGGUAAGUGAGAUGUGCCCAGGCCUAAGGGCAUGUCCUUGGGGUGGAACAGAUCCCAAAGGUAGUUCUGGCACAGGGUUGCAGAGAUGCUCUGAUUCCAGAAACUAGACUGCCCAUAUAAAACCUACAUCUUCCUCCAUGCUGCUUGGUGUUUCUGGGUCUGGAUUAGCUCUCUCAUACACAACUGGGGUGUCCCUGACCCCAUGGCACAGACCCGCCUAUAAGUCACAUUCAGAAUGAUGGCAAAGGAUGUUAACCAAACCACAGAAUGUUUUGGGUCCCUGGAAUCACAGAAAUGGACACAUCUGAGAUAGAUUUAGUUCUCUGGGUUUAAUAUGACAGAUCUCAACCACAAAUUUCUUAUCCAGAUUUGUUUGGAGCCAGGAUAUGGUUCAGGCCAAGUGUUUUGCUUUGUUUGUUUAUCUCGGAUAUGGUUUUGGAUGCUUAGCAGGAAAAAAAAAUCAAUGUUUAUGAUGUUCAUUUCAGAUCUCCUUUUGGCAGCUGGAUGAGAAAGGAAUGCCACCACAAAGGAGGGAUCACUGAGGCGAGGCUGAAGUUGUAUUCAAAGACAAGAGCGGUGCAGUGCAUUGCAGAUGUCAUAGAAUCACCACCGUGAUCAGGCAGCCUCUUCCCUGGAGUGACUCUGAGUUCUGAUUUCAAUUGGGGAAAUCAAGACCUGAGCAGAUCCCUUUUUUCAUUUCCAUUUAUUCUCAGGAAAGCACUCCUCGUCGAGUUGGGCCUAGCAAUAUGGCAGCGCACGUUCGGUAAGGAAUCUCAUCAAGUGCUGCUACGAGAUGCCGAACCCUUGAACCUCCUGUUCUUGGUCUGAAUUUUGGGCACUGAGAACUCUGGAAAAACUGAAUACUUUAAAGGAAGAAAUGCUGUCAGAUAGCAGAGAGUUGGAGCUGGGGGAAUAUUCUGGAUCGGUUCAUGAAGCGAAAGGAUUCUUUCUCUUUAAAAAUAGAAUGACAGUAGCACCCCGGCCCAGUAGUGACUUCUCUGAAAGUUAAAACAACUCUGAGGCAGUUGCUCUGUCUGCUUCCUCCGAGCUGCCAGCAUGGAAACGAGACCACUUCUUGCAGGAUGGGGGAUGUAACAGAGCCUGCACUGCAAUGUUCAGUGAUGCAGAAGUACAGACUGGCACCAGGAGUGGGGAGACUGGCUGCUCUGCUUGCGUCCCGCUGCUAUUUCUGGCAUGCAGAGACUGAGCGGUGUCUGCUGGCCCAAACAGGUUGAAGAUUCAGAGUUCAACGGUCUUUUAGAAAGGUGUUAGCAGAAUUGGAGUCAGGUGGAAAAUGAAAUACAACUAUCCCCUCUCUAAGCUGAGAGGAUAGAUCUUCUUGGGUUUGAAGGGUUGAGGAUAACAAGAGUAAUCUGGACAGAGCAGCUUUCUUCUAAGGGCCUCAGAACUCUCUGUGGACACGCUUCUCUCUGCAAAAAUGGCUCUCACUCCAUUUCUGUGAGAACUCUUCCCGCAAACUCGGGUCCCUAAGAGGAUUAGUGAAGGGGAUACCAAUUUAUUUAUACUCACCUCAGCAUGGUAGCAGCCAAACACUUGCCUGGCUUGCAUGGUCCCAAGCAGAGUUAAAUGCAUGUCUAUGACCACAAGAGGAUGACGCCCUUGUUUCUUUGUGCCAGCCUGGAGGCCCUUAGGUGCCACAGUUUAAGCCCUUGAAAAACAAGGCUGCUGGACACUCUAGUAAAUAAAGUGUCCGGAUGUCAGCGAUGAUUCAUAAAAGCAAUUAAAAAAGGAAAGUGCCGUGCUGCUGAGCGUAAUGUCUUGAAGAUGUCCUUAAGAGUGUGUAAUGCUGCAGACAGUGGUCAGUGGGUAGUAGAUGACCAAUCUGUUUCCAGCAUAACUCUUCACUUGGUUCUCAUGAUCAAAACUUUUGAUAUAUAUAUCAAAUAUAUAUAUAUAGAUGAAUUUUCCUCAUUCAGCCAUUGCUUCAAAAUAGGGUUGGGUUUUCUUUCAGUGCUCCCCUCUUGCCUUACAGCCCCGACAAGGCACAGAGCACCCAACUUGUGGUGCCAUUUGCAAUAAGCAAGACAGAACUGUGUUAUAACACAACUGGGACUCUUGUUGCAUGCAGAGAUACCCAGCGUGGCCACAUGGCCUAUGCAAGAGGUAGGCAUGCUCUGCAAACAUCUCUCUGCAUGGCUUUCCCACUCCUUAACUAACCUGUGAGCUCCCAGCUAUGCUACUAUCUCUGUCCAUUGCCUUGCCUCCUCCAGCUGGAUGCCUUUUGCUUCUCUUGGUGUCUGCACGUGGUCCAGAGCUGGGGCUUGGCUCUGCUGUGCCCUUCAUUAGACCAGGCAUAUAUGCUAAGGGAAGCAAAAUAGUUUACUGAUUUAUCAUGGAUCAUUAGAUGGAGUAACUAUUCUUAAAACAUCACCAGUAUAGAUACAAUAAUUAGAGAUGUGCUUUUGUUAACAUUGCCAGCCUCUACCCUCUUGUACAGUACCCUUGGGUACUAAAUAAUUACCCACUUUGUGUGGUUAUCUAGCUCACUAAUUACCCACAAAAAUUGGGGUCAGGUGUUAACUGCUUGAAAUAAGUAUCCUCCAAAGACUUGGUUAAAUUGUGUAAAGAAAUUAUGUGUUUGCAGCAAAACUUAGGGGGAAAAAAAAAGAAAUAGAAACUUUUGUUGUUGUUGGAAGGAAGAGGGGAAAGCAGGGAAGACAAUGGAUGUAAAUUGCCCUCUGUGAUGGCAACAUCUUGCACACAGCUCUGAUGCUGCGGAUGGAGUCUGUAAGAAGGGAGGAUGGCUGCCGGGUACGGUCUCUCUCAUCCUCUGCUUCUCCCAUAGAGUCUGAUUCUUCCCCUGUCCAGGCUGAUGUCAGUGAGGUUUGCAUUGGUAUAAAUGAGAAAUGUUGUACGCAUGGAUUCCUGGGCUGCCUUUACUGCAUAACUCCCCCUCCUCUGUCACUCAGGGACUUCUGCAUUGCACCCAAUAACUGAAUUAUGCAUUGUAUAUGUAUUUCCAUAUGUUUAUUUUAGCUGUUUCAAGCUCUCUAUGCAUGCAGAAUCUCAUUCCAGGGCUGCUGCUCGUAAAAUGUAACUCGCUUUGAGUAAUAAUUUAAUUCCUGCGUUCAGGGAGUUACCCCAGUGAGUCAAAGAUUUCUAGAUAGCCCCACCCUCCCCAACUUCCCGAACACUUACACUGCAGUCACUUUCUCUUUGCCAGACCCACACAAGACGCCAAGCCAGCCAAAAUCCCAGGAGGCAGCUUGUCCUGCCUGCCCCCUUUUAGCCCCAGGGAAAUAGGAAAUAAAACCCCGAGAGCCCCGAAACCAAAGCCUGUGAAAUACCUGCCGUAGAACAGAGGGAUAUUGAAUAGCCCGUCCUCCUAACCUGCUGUCUCACACUGGGGCUCGCUGUCUGUAGCACAAAGGAAAUUGAUGGAAGUGGGAACGAAGAUGAUUCUGAAAAUCCCACCGUGCAGCCUCGGGAUCUCUGGCCGCAUAGAUACCCUUAACGCUGCAGUGCUGAGCACCUGCACAGCUCCCUGCCUAACAAAGGAGCUGCCUUAUUUAUUUAUUUCCUCGUCGGCUUUCGGUGCUUUACUCCCCUGCGGUUCCCACACAGGCAGGCUGGAUAGGGUCCGGUUCUGGGUAUCAUCAGUGCCCCCCUCCCCGUAGCUCGGGGUAAGGGGGGGGGGGGUCUCAGGUGAUGCUUUCUAGCCAGGGCUGUGCCCAUCUUUAGGGGCGUACCUGCGUUCUGCAUCCCUGCAGGCAUCAGCCCUGCAGAGCACAAUGCAGAUUUAGUCGUCAUCUUUGUCUCCCCCCCCCAUUCCUCCCCACCCCACCCCCCCUCGGCCCCGCUCCCCGCUGAUGUUAACUGUCUGUAUUAUUAUUUAUUGUUAUCAAGGGAUUUGGUUUGAUCAAUGAAGUGUAUAUACGUCUGACGGACAUUCGGGGAGGAAAUGCUUGGAGAAUGAGUAACAUGUCUGCAGUGGAGGGUGUGUGUGUGAGGAGAGAGAGCAGCAUCGGUCCUAGAAACAUUGACUGAUGAGUUCAUUUUAAAAUCCAAGGGCAUCUAGCUGGUAAAUUAGCACAUAUUGCAAAUAUAGUCUGGUGCGAGAGGCAGCGGCUCUGCCAUGGAGCAGGGGGUGGGUGCGGAGGGGUGGGGGUCGAGAAGAGGAGAUCGUCAGCUCUAAAGUCACGGCGGGCAGGAGCCGGGCGGUCCGCCUGCAUCCACGCAGACUCGGGGCGUGCGAUUAUUCCACGGGCGGCUGCGGGUUGCGGUGUGACGGGGAGGGGAGCGGGGUGGGGGGGGUGGGGGGAGCGAGCGAGAUAGCAGCGGUGGAUUUUAUUGUUUUAAAAUCCAGCUCCAGCCAGAGGGAUGCUCGGCGGAGAGCUGCGGUCCCACCACUCCCCCUUUCCUUCUUCCAACCCCCCCUUUCCCCUCCCUCCCCUUCUCCCCGCAGCCCCGCGGGAAGGUGCCGGCGGGGUCCCGGGGCCGCAGGCAGGGGCUGCCCGGCGGCGGCGGGGCCGGGGCGGCCGCGGCGGUUCCUCCCGGGAGCUUAAGGGAUUAUUGGGGAGGGGGGAGCGGGUCGGGGUGUACGCGAGGCUGGCGGCGGCGGCGGGGGGGAGCCGGGUCCUUAUUCUGUUAAAGAUUUAAGUAGGCAUGCAAGGAAUCUCUAGGAUAGUUGGCAAAGGGCGAGGGUGGGGAGGGGGGGGGGAAGGAUCCAAAAGAGUCUGUAACCAGACACUGAAGCUUUCCAGGAGUGAGAGUGUGUGAGAGAGACGGAGACAGAGCGAGAGGAAGAGAGGGGGCAGUGUGGUCUAGUACAUUUUCAUCUGGUCGUUGAUUUGAGCCUGAUGCUUGCUGUCCCUCAACAGCCUCCCUUGCCUGUAUUUUUUCUUUCCCCCUCUCCUCUCCUUUCCCUUCUACUUCAUCGAAGCCUAGGGGAGCCAGUAAAGAUUAAAUGUGCUUUCUAAAAGGCAGCCACUUCAUGCAGCUAUGUCUGCUCACCUCCCCCCCCCAACCCAGCCGCCCCCCCCCCCUCCCUUCCACUCCCCCUUUUAUUUCGAAAUUAAAAAAAAUAAUAAUAGAAAAAAAUAGAAAAAAAAAGGAAAAAAGCGAGGGGGGGAGAAGGAAGGAGGAGGAAGAGGAGGACUGGAGUUUAAUGAUGUCGGGACUGGCUGAUCCAGGAGGAGGAAAAAGAAAUAAUAGGAAAAAAAA